UAUUCUGCCCUACGGGGAAGGAUGAGAAGCUUCGACUAAGGUUCGACUCGAGCGAAGCGAGAGAACGUU
rnacentral:sRNA from 1 species